rnacentral:rRNA from 1 species
GAUGAACGCUAGCUACAGGCUUAACACAUGCAAGUCGAGGGGCAGCAUGGUCUUAGCUUGCUAAGGCCGAUGGCGACCGGCGCACGGGUGAGUAACACGUAUCCAACCUGCCGUCUACUCUUGGACAGCCUUCUGAAAGGAAGAUUAAUACAAGAUGGCAUCAUGAGUCCACAUGUUCACAUGAUUAAAGGUAUUCCGGUGGACGAUGGGGAUGCGUUCCAUUAGAUAGUAGGCGGGGUAACGGCCCACCUAGUCUUCGAUGGAUAGGGGUUCUGAGAGGAAGGUCCCCCACAUUGGAACUGAGACACGGUCCAAACUCCUACGGGAGGCAGCAGUGAGGAAUAUUGGUCAAUGGGCGAGAGCCUGAACCAGCCAAGUAGCGUGAAGGAUGACUGCCCUAUGGGUUGUAAACUUCUUUUAUAAAGGAAUAAAGUCGGGUAUGGAUACCCGUUUGCAUGUACUUUAUGAAUAAGGAUCGGCUAACUCCGUGCCAGCAGCCGCGGUAAUACGGAGGAUCCGAGCGUUAUCCGGAUUUAUUGGGUUUAAAGGGAGCGUAGAUGGAUGUUUAAGUCAGUUGUGAAAGUUUGCGGCUCAACCGUAAAAUUGCAGUUGAUACUGGAUAUCUUGAGUGCAGUUGAGGCAGGCGGAAUUCGUGGUGUAGCGGUGAAAUGCUUAGAUAUCACGAAGAACUCCGAUUGCGAAGGCAGCCUGCUAAGCUGCAACUGACAUUGAGGCUCGAAAGUGUGGGUAUCAAACAGGAUUAGAUACCCUGGUAGUCCACACGGUAAACGAUGAAUACUCGCUGUUUGCGAUAUACAGCAAGCGGCCAAGCGAAAGCGUUAAGUAUUCCACCUGGGGAGUACGCCGGCAACGGUGAAACUCAAAGGAAUUGACGGGGGCCCGCACAAGCGGAGGAACAUGUGGUUUAAUUCGAUGAUACGCGAGGAACCUUACCCGGGCUUAAAUUGCAGAUGAAUUACGGUGAAAGCCGUAAGCCGCAAGGCAUCUGUGAAGGUGCUGCAUGGUUGUCGUCAGCUCGUGCCGUGAGGUGUCGGCUUAAGUGCCAUAACGAGCGCAACCCUUGUUGUCAGUUACUAACAGGUUCCGCUGAGGACUCUGACAAGACUGCCAUCGUAAGAUGUGAGGAAGGUGGGGAUGACGUCAAAUCAGCACGGCCCUUACGUCCGGGGCUACACACGUGUUACAAUGGGGGGUACAGAGGGCCGCUACCACGCGAGUGGAUGCCAAUCCCAAAAACCUCUCUCAGUUCGGACUGGAGUCUGCAACCCGACUCCACGAAGCUGGAUUCGCUAGUAAUCGCGCAUCAGCCACGGCGCGGUGAAUACGUUCCCGGGCCU